UUGCUAUCGGUGUCCGAUUUAGCCAUGCAAGUUGCACGUUUAACGUAGCAAACCGCUCAGUAACACGUGGCCGAUCUACCCUAUGGACCGGGAUAACCACGGGAAACUGUGGCUAAUCCCGGAUAGCGCUCCCGAGCUUGAAUGCUGGGAGCGUGACACGCUCCGGCGCCAUAGGAUGAGGCUGCGGCCGAUUAGGUAGACGGUGAGGUAACGGCUCACCGUGCCGAUAAUCGGUACUGGUUGUGAGAGCAAGAGCCAGGAGACGGAAUCUGAGACAAGAUUCCGGGCCCUACGGGGCGCAGCAGGCGCGAAACCUUUACACUGCACGACAGUGCGAUAGGGGGACACCGAGUGCGAGGGCAUAGAGCCCUCGCUUUUGUGUACCGUAAGGUGGUACACGAAUAAGGGCUGGGCAAGACCGGUGCCAGCCGCCGCGGUAACACCGGCAGCCCGAGUGAUGGCCGAUUUUAUUGGGCCUAAAGCGUCCGUAGCUGGCCGCGUAGGUCCGUCGGGAAAUCUACUGGCCUAACCAGUAGGCGUCCGGCGGAAACCUCGUGGCUUGGGACCGGGAGACCUGAGGGGUACGUCCGGGGUAGGAGUGAAAUCCCGUAAUCUUGGACGGACCACCGGUGGCGAAAGCGCCUCAGGAGAACNGAUCCGACAGUGANGGACGAAAGCUAGGGUCUCGAACCGGAUUANAUACCCGGUAUCCUAGCCGUAAACGAUGCUCGU
rnacentral:rRNA from 1 species